rnacentral:rRNA from 1 species
UACGGAGGAUGCGAGCGUUAUCCGGAUUUAUUGGGCUUAAAGGGUGCGUAGGCGGACGCUUAAGUCAGCGGUAAAAUUGCGGGGCUCAACCCCGUCCGGCCGUUGAAACUGGGGGCCUUGAGUGGGCGAGAAGAAGGCGGAAUGCGUGGUGUAGCGGUGAAAUGCAUAGAUAUCACGCAGAACCCCGAUUGCGAAGGCAGCCUUCCGGCGCCCUACUGACGCUGAGGCACGAAAGUGCGGGGAUCGAACAGG